GUGGGGAAUCUUGCGCAAUGGGCGAAAGCCUGACGCAGCCAUGCCGCGUGAAUGAUGAAGGUCUUAGGAUUGUAAAAUUCUUUCACCGGGGACGAUAAUGACGGUACCCGGAGAAGAAGCCCCGGCUAACUUCGUGCCAGCAGCCGCGGUAAUACGAAGGGGGCUAGCGUUGCUCGGAAUUACUGGGCGUAAAGGGCGCGUAGGCGGACAGUUUAGUCAGAGGUGAAAGCCCAGGGCUCAACCUUGGAAUUGCCUUUGAUACUGGCUGUCUUGAGUACGGGAGAGGUGAGUGGAACUCCGAGUGUAGAGGUGAAAUUCGUAGAUAUUCGGAAGAACACCAGUGGCGAAGGCGACUCACUGGCCCGUUACUGACGCUGAGGUGCGAAAGCGUGGGGAGCAAACAGGAUUAGAAACCCGGGUAGUCC
rnacentral:rRNA from 1 species